rnacentral:sRNA from 1 species
GUAUCCAGAGUUGACAUUACCUGUGUUAAGGCUCUUCGAUCAAGAACAUAACUAGGAAUCAUUCGAGGUGAUUCAAGGCCUGUUUUCCUCAGGUCUUGCUAAGCCUGUGACCUGUCAGCUAUGCUUAGGUAUCAUUUUAAAGAAAGUAUUGCCUAACCUAAGGAGCUGAGACUUGAGAUUUGAAUUCUGGCUCCCCACUGGUUAAGGAAAAGAGCUGAUAAAGACCUUUUGAGGCCCAGAGACAGGGGAAAGAAGAGGACAAAACUGGGGAAGAGGGACACCAAUGAGUUGUGUCUUCCCUCUGUCCACUCUCAGCACCUUCACUCUGAAGAUCUGUUAAAAGCACACGAGUCGUCUCAGUCCCUCAGUGGGAGCUGUUUCACCUGGCGUCAUCUAGUCAGCCAUCUUCAAUAAUAACUGUUAAAUGAACAUUUAUAUCCACUGAAACCACUAAGUGAAAUAAAGAUGUGUUUAGGCAAAGAACUGAGUUUAUGACUUAUAGAUCCUCACCAAGGAAACUUCCAAAAGAUGUACUU